UACAGAGGGUGCAAGCGUUAUCCGGAAUCACUGGGUUUAAAGGGUGCGUAGGCGGGAAGAUAAGUCAAGGGUGAACGCUCGUCGCUUAACGACGGAAUUGCCUUUGAUACUGUUUUUCUUGAAAUAUGUUGAGGUUGGCGGAAUGAGACAUGUAGCGGUGAAAUGCUUAGAUAUGUCUUAGAACACCGAUUGCGAAGGCAGCUGACUGGACAUUAUUUGACGCUGAGGCACGAAAGCGUGGGGAUCAAACAGG
rnacentral:rRNA from 1 species